rnacentral:misc_RNA from 1 species
AAGUCGUAACAAGGUAUCCGUAGGUGAACCUGCGGAUGGAUCAUUACCAAUUUCUAUAUUAUAAAACUACCCAGGCCCCGCAAAGGGUUUGGGUAACUUUUAUAAAUGUAAAUUGUUGAACCUGUUAUAUUAUUCUGUGUGGUUCAGUUUUGUUACUUGGCCACCAGCAUUUAUAAAAUCUAAAACAUUUUAUAUUAACUACUAUUAAUAACUAUAUUUAUAUAAUACUUUUUAAAGCUCAGGUGGGUAAAACCCUUGUGCUAUAAAAAACAACUAAUAUAAAAAACAACUUUCAACAAUGGAUCUCUAGGCUCUC